rnacentral:rRNA from 1 species
CUACGGGAGGCAGCAGUGGGGAAUAUUGGUCAAUGGGCGUAAGCCUGAACCAGCCAUCCCGCGUGAAGGAAGAAGGCGCUAUGCGUCGUAAACUUCUUUUCCAGAAGAAGAAAACCCCCGACGUGUCGGGGCUUGCCGGUACUCUGGGAAUAAGCAUCGGCUAACUCCGUGCCAGCAGCCGCGGUAAUACGGAGGAUGCGAGCGUUAUCCGGAUUUAUUGGGUUUAAAGGGUGCGUAGGCGGAUUAAUAAGUCAGUGGUGAAAACCUUCAGCUUAACUGGAGACCUGCCAUUGAUACUGUUAGUCCUGAGUACGGUCAAGGUAGGCGGAAUGUGUAAUGUAGCGGUGAAAUGCUUAGAUAUUACACAGAACACCGAUUGCGAAGGCAGCUUACUGGGCCAUUACUGACGCUGAUGCACGAAAGCGUGGGGAGCGAACAGGAUUAGAAACCCUAGUAGUCC